rnacentral:rRNA from 1 species
UACGUAGGGGGCAAGCGUUGUCCGGAAUCAUUGGGCGUAAAGAGCGUGUAGGCGGCCCGAUAAGUCCGCUGUGAAAGUCCAGGGCUCAACCCUGGGAUGCCGGUGGAUACUGUCGGACUCGAGUCCGGAAGAGGAGUGUGGAAUUCCUGGUGUAGCGGUGAAAUGCGCAGAUAUCAGGAGGAACACCAAUGGCGAAGGCAGCACUCUGGGACGUGACUGACGCUGAGACGCGAAAGCGUGGGGAGCAAACAGG